GAUGAAGAACGCAGCGAAAUGCGAUAAGUAAUGUGAAUUGCAGAAUUCAGUGAAUCAUCGAAUCUUUGAACGCACAUUGCGCCCCUUGGUAUUCCGAGGGGCAUGCCUGUUCGAGCGUCAUUAUAACCCCUCAAGCUCAGCUUGGUAUUGGGGCCUGCCAUCCUGGCAGCCCUUAAAAUCAGUGGCGGUGCCAUCCGGCUCUAAGCGUAGUAAUUCUUCUCGCUAUGGAGUCCUGGUGGAUGCUUGCCAUCAACCCCCAAUUUUUCUAUGGUUGACCUCGGAUCAGGUAGGGAUACCCGCUGAACUUAAGCAUAUCAAUAAGCGGAGGA
rnacentral:misc_RNA from 1 species